GCCUUUAAGACGAGGAUAACAAGUGGAAACAUUUGCUAAGACUGGAUAGGAAAUAGAAGGAUAACCUUUUAUUUUUAAAAGACCUUCUUCGGAAGGUAUGCUUAAAGAGGGGCUUGCGCCACAUUAGUUAGUUGGUAGGGUAAUGGCCUACCAAGACUAUGAUGUGUAGCUGGACUGAGAGGUUGAACAGCCACAUUGGGACUGAGACACGGCCCAAACUCCUACGGGAGGCAGCAGUAGGGAAUUUUCGGCAAUGGAGGAAACUCUGACCGAGCAACGCCGCGUGAACGAAGAAGUAUUUAGGUAUGUAAAGUUCUUUUAUUGAAGAAGAAAAAAUAGUGGAAAAACUAUCUUGACGCUAUUCAAUGAAUAAGCCCCGGCUAACUAUGUGCCAGCAGCCGCGGUAAGACAUAGGGGGCGAGCGUUAUCCGGAAUUAUUGGGCGUAAAGGGUGCGUAGGCGGUUAGAUAAGUCUAUAAUUUAAUUUCAGUGCUUAACGCUGUUCUGUUAUAGAAACUGUCUAGCUAGAGUAAGAUAGAGGCAAGUGGAAUUCCAUGUGUAGCGGUAAAAUGUGUAAAUAUAUGGAGGAACACCAGAAGCGUAGGCGGCUUGCUGGGUCUUUACUGACGCUGAGGCACGAAAGCGUGGGUAGCAAACAGGAUUAGAUACCCUGGUAGUCCACGCCGUAAACGAUGAGUACUAAGUGUCGGGGUUAAACUCGGUACUGAAGUUAACACAUUAAGUACUCCGCCUGAGUAGUACGUACGCAAGUAUGAAACUUAAAGGAAUUGACGGGACUCC
rnacentral:rRNA from 1 species